GACAUACCUUAAUGUUGCCUCGGCGGAUCAGCCCGCGCCCCGUAAAACGGGACGGCCCGCCAGAGGACCCAAACUCUAAUGUUUCUUAUUGUAACUUCUGAGUAAAACAAACAAAUAAAUCAAAACUUUCAACAACGGAUCUCUUGGUUCUGGCAUCGAUGAAGAACGCAGCAAAAUGCGAUAAGUAAUGUGAAUUGCAGAAUUCAGUGAAUCAUCGAAUCUUUGAACGCACAUUGCGCCCGCUGGUAUUCCGGCGGGCAUGCCUGUUCGAGCGUCAUUUCAACCCUCAAACCCCCGGGUUUGGUGUUGGGGAUCGGCUCUGCCUCACGGCGGUGCCGCCCCCGAAAUACAUUGGCGGUCUCGCUGCAGCCUCCAUUGCGUAGUAGCUAACACCUCGCAACUGGAACGCGGCGCGGCCAUGCCGUAAAACCCCAACUUCUGAAUGUUGACCUCGGAUCAGGUAGGAAUACCCGCUGAACUUAAGCAUAUCAAUAA
rnacentral:rRNA from 1 species